CCUACGGGUGGCAGCAGUAGGGAAUCUUCCACAAUGGGCGAAAGCCUGAUGCAGCCACGCCGCGUGGAUGAAGAAGGUCUUCGGAUUGUAAAACCCUUUUGUUAGAGAGGAAGGUGCGUGAGAUUAACUGUUCACGUUUUGACGGUACCUGACCAGAAAGCCACGGCUAACUACGUGCCAGCAGCCGCGGUAAUACGUAGGUGGCAAGCGUUAUUCGGAUUUAUUGGGCGUAAAGGGAACGCAGGCGGUCUUUUAAGUCAGAUGUGAAAGCCUCGGGCUUAACCGGAGUAGUGCAUGGGAAACUGGGAGGCUUGAGUGGCGGAGAGGAGAGUGGAACUCCAGGUGUAGCGGUGAAAUGCGUAGAUAUAUGGAGGAAGACCAGUGGCGAAGGCGGCUCUCUGGUC
rnacentral:rRNA from 1 species